GCAGUUGAGCGCUGAAGUUGGUACUUGUACCGACUGGAUGAGCAGCGAACGGGCCCAUAAAGCGUGGGGAAUCUGCCUUUGAGCGGGGGACAACAUUUGUAAACGAAUGCUAAUACCGCAUAAAAACUUUAAACACAAGUUUUAAGUUUGAAAGAUGCAAUUGCAUCACUCAAAGAUGAUCCCGCGUUGUAUUAGCUAGUUGGUGAGGUAAAGGCUCACCAAGGCGAUGAUACAUAGCCGACCUGAGAGGGUGAUCGGCCACAUUGGGACUGAGACACGGCCCAAACUCCUACGGGAGGCAGCAGUAGGGAAUCUUCGGCAAUGGACGAAAGUCUGACCGAGCAACGCCGCGUGAGUGAAGAAGGUUUUCGGAUCGUAAAACUCUGUUGGUAGAGAAGAACGUUGGUGAGAGUGGAAAGCUCAUCAAGUGACGGUAACUACCCAGAAAGGGACGGCUAACUACGUGCCAGCAGCCGCGGUAAUACGUAGGUCCCGAGCGUUGUCCGGAUUUAUUGGGCGUAAAGCGAGCGCAGGUGGUUUAUUAAGUCUGGUGUAAAAGGCAGUGGCUCAACCAUUGUAUGCAUUGGAAACUGGUAGACUUGAGUGCAGGAGGGGAGAGUGGAAUUCCAUGUGUAGCGGUGAAAUGCGUAGAUAUAUGGAGGAACACCGGUGGCGAAAGCGGCUCUCUGGCCUGUAACUGACACUGAGGCUCGAAAGCGUGGGGAGCAAACAGGAUUAGAUACCCUGGUAGUCCACGCCGUAAACGAUGAGUGCUAGAUGUAGGGAGCUAUAAGUUCUCUGUAUCGCAGCUAACGCAAUAAGCACUCCGCCUGGGGAGUACGACCGCAAGGUUGAAACUCAAAGGAAUUGACGGG
rnacentral:rRNA from 1 species